GAAGGAAGGAUAGAAAGAAUAUCAAAAUAAGGAAAAAUAAAGAGAUGGUCACAAACUUCCCGAUACAAACUCUUGGUUUGAUUUCUCUCUUCAUCCAAUUCGCUCU
rnacentral:ribozyme from 11 species